GCUCUUCGCUCAUUCAGUCUUUCACUACCAAAGACACGGCGUGGUAAACGUCACAAAUCCUCCGGGGAGAAUUAUGGCUAUCAUUAUAAAACUAAGUUGUCUUUGGCAGCCGCACAGAGAACACCAUGCAUCCGCAAUAAAAUGACUCGAUCCCUUUGUAACAGGGGUGCAGAUGGCACCACCAGGCUGACUAGCUGUUCUGGCCUGUAGAGGCGGCUGUACGAAGUCCAUGAUGUGAAGCUGCCAUCACGUCGUCAGGAGUCUGUCAGUCUGAGACCAUGUGACCUGCGUUGGACCGCCCUCCACCCCAUCCCUCAGUUAGCAUCACUGACAUGAUUGGUCCGAUUUCUCCCACCAGACUCUCAAUGCUGCAGUCUGGAUGGUCAAUCUGAGACCAUGUGACCUGCAGUGAUCCAUCAGCCCUCUGGUUCCAUAGACGGGAGGGGCUUCCCACCACAAUGGCUGCCCAGCCUGUGGUUUCUCUGGUGUGUUGCGUUUCAGAACCAGAAGGGUGCUUGCUGACCGACUUCCAUCGUGUUGAAGGGGUGGUUACUACCCACAGCUGGUGUUAUCCAAUGAUGUGCUAUGUAUCAAACUAAGCAUUGUAUGUGGGCCAAAUCAUGAGCUAAAUCUUGUAGUGAAUCUGGAGAUUGGCCAAGUUCAAGAGACUAGACUGUUUGGUUUAACCCUGGUUUGUAAACUGAAAUGGUAAAUUUUAUGAUUUAACAGCAGCUGGGGUGGUGAGGUCUGUCUGUAACGCUGCUCUGGUUUCUUGAUGAUCAAUUUGUUUAGGCCCUAGUUUUAGCACACCUGGGCUACAGUCCAAACACUUAAGAUGCACCCUACCCCCUUCAGCCCUCAUUAAGUGGACAUCUCUGAUACCUUAUAAUGCUGCCUGAUGAGUAUACACCUGCAGGGCAAGGAAGGGUUUUUAAAAUGGCCGCCCUUACCUGGAAAUCCAUCGCUCGUCCUGCGACUGUCUUUUAGCCACCAGCUUGUGGGUGUUAUGUGCUACAGUCAAUUAUGAUUGCAUGUCUAAAUAUCUUAGCCGAUUAAUUAGUUGUCUACCGUUAGCCUGUCUAGCUGGAACUUCUGAAGAUAAAAUGUAGUAAUACAAUUUCCAAAAGCUAACUAAGUAUUACUUUAUGAGAUGUUUAUGCUGUCAUGUGCAUUAGUACAAUUUAGAACUUAUUUAUGUUUUGUUGUUACGUUCACUUGUAAAUUGACCACUAAAACGAGGGCUGUGGGGGGCUUACGUUGCAAGCUUCCCUUGCUUGGCUAAUAAUUUGCACCGCCUGCCAAGAUGGUGACGUUAUUCCCCCAAGGGCAUAAAGUGAGAGUUUUUGGUUUGGACUGUGGCCCUGUACUAAUGUCCAGUUAUAUAGUGAAGUGCCACAAAGGACACAGGCAAAUUAGUUGGCCCAGAACAGGGCAGCGCAACUGGCAUUUAAUGGGUACUUUCAAGAUUUUGGCACAUGAUAAGAGGAGUGGUUUUAUUUAUGUAGGCUGUAGUUUUAUUACUUAAUUAUUUUGUUUGCCAUUUCUGUUAACCACACCCUGCCUGUAUCUGGACCCUACAGUCUGCAGCAGUAUCGUGUAUAUAUUGUGUCAAGACCUUGGGUAUUUUGUUCUGUUAAGGUAGUCAAUAAAGUUUUUACAAUGUG